rnacentral:lncRNA from 1 species
UCCACUCUCUUCUUCUCCUCCUCCUUCUACUCCUAAUCCAGCAGCUCCUCCUCCGCUGCUUGCGCUUCCACUGGCGCUGCUGGACUCUCCCCCACCACUGCCGUUGGAAGAAGAUGACGCCGAUGAUGACGACGAUCGUGAUGAUGAGGUAGAGGAGGAUGAAGACGAUGAGGAAGCCGACGACUCGUGGGUUCCGCCUUCUAGUUCGUGGUUGUUUCCGUAUUCCUCCCCGAAAACAUCCACGUCUUGGUCCGGGAAAUCCAUUGAGGUUUUUGGGUGAACGAUUGAGAGAUUGUUCUGAGUUUUACUUUUUACGAAU